rnacentral:lncRNA from 1 species
GGCCAGUCACGGCUGCCCGCUUUCCACACCUGACCUCUUCAGUUCAUCAGUGGGGUUCACCAGCAUCACCCCCAUUUUUCAUGGGGAGAAACUCAGAAGUGGAGAGAACGUCUGAGGCUACAUAGCCAGUACAAAAUCGCUUCUUGACCUGCACAACUUUCUGAUUUGAUGAGUUCAACAGAAACCAACUCAAGGGAGAAGAAUAAAGACAUUGUUGAACUUAGACUUUGACAAGAUGCAUAUUGGAUAUCUAAAUAGAGAUAUCAAGAAAUGAAGAUAUGCAUUUCCAGUUCCAGAGAGAAAUUCACACUGGAAAUAUAAAUUUAGGAAUUUUAAAGUUAGUGGUCACAUUUAAAGCUGCAGAAUACAAAGAGAUCACCUGUGUGAGAGAACUGAGUCCUGAAACAUACCCGUGUUUAAAGAUCUGGGAGGUGCAGAGGAAUUAUCAAAGGAGGCUGAGAAGGAGCAGCCAGUGAGGUGUGUAGAAAAACAAGAUAAGCAAAAAGAAAAGCAAGAGAUAUGGAACUGAACUUCCCUUUGGCAAAAAAUUUAGAAAAUGAUAAUGAGACUCCGCUUUCUGUCUCUCUGAAGAUAACGUUAAGCUGCAGCUCCGUAUCUGUGAAAACCC